GCUAAGCCUUUACUGGUUAGUGGUUCUAUUCUCUGCAUCACUGCAUGUAUGAAUCAGAAAUGUUAAUUAGCAAAAAAAUGAAUCAGAAAUGUUAAAUCAGUGGAAGGAGCUAAAUCAUGUCUAGGUAACAGAAUAGAUGUUCUUAAAAAAGACCUCGAAAGUCGAAACCAUUUAUGGUUGCUCUAAUUAUCAUUUGCAUAGAUGUAGUUAAUACGGGCGUGCUCUGUUGUUAUUAGUAGAACAUUCGUCCUG
rnacentral:lncRNA from 1 species